AUCUUCCUCCCUGCGCUCGUCCUGGCAGCCGCGCCCUGCUCGCCCUCCAGCGUCGUGCCCUGCUCCCUGGUGCCACGAGCUCACCGGCGUUCCUCCCGCUCCCUGCUCGCCGGUGCUCCUCCCUGCGCGCAGCCGAGCUCGCCCUCCGGCCAACUUCGCCGGUCGAGUUCCUCUGCCCUCUCCCACGGCCGCCGUCGAUUCUCCCUGGCCGGCACGCGGACCGCGACACUGCUCCUGUUUGCCAUGGCUGCCGCGCCCUCCCAGCCGUGGAGCUUCCGCGUGCGCGAGCUUCUCUGUUGGCCAUCGCUGCUCCCUGGCAGGCUCGCCCGUCCGCGCUCUGCCCAAUCCCCAGCUCGGCCGCCCAUUUCCCCGAGCUCGCCCCUGCGCUCGGAUUUUCCCUCUCGG
rnacentral:misc_RNA from 1 species